rnacentral:tRNA from 1 species
GGCGUGAUGUCCGAGCAGUUAGGAAGCGGUCUGCAAAACCGCGUAGACGGGUGCAACUCCCGUUCACGCCU